rnacentral:rRNA from 1 species
CUGCUGCCUUCCGUAGGAGUCUGGGCCGUAUCUCAGUCCCAAUGUGGCCGGCCAACCUCUCAGUCCGGCUACUGAUCGUCGCCUUGGUAGGCCGUUGCCCCACCAACUAGCUAAUCAGACGCGAGGCCAUCUUUCGGCGAUAAAAUCUUUGGUAUCAAGACCAUGCGAUCCCGAUACGUCAUGCGGUAUUAGCAGUCGUUUCCAACUGUUGUCCCCCUCCGAAAGGCAGGUUCCUCACGCGUUACUCACCAG